rnacentral:rRNA from 1 species
UACGUAGGGUGCAAGCGUUGUCCGGAAUUAUUGGGCGUAAAGAGCUCGUAGGCGGCCUGUUGCGUCCGCUGUGAAAGCCCGGGGCUUAACCCCGGGUCUGCAGUGGAUACGGGCUGGCUAGAGGCAGGCAGGGGAGAACGGAAUUCCCGGUGUAGCGGUGAAAUGCGCAGAUAUCGGGAGGAACACCGGUGGCGAAGGCGGUUCUCUGGGCCUGUACUGACGCUGAGGAGCGAAAGCGUGGGGAGCGAACAGG